rnacentral:rRNA from 1 species
GAUGAACGCUGGCGGCGUGCCUAAUACAUGCAAGUCGAGCGAACAGACGAGGAGCUUGCUCCUCUGACGUUAGCGGCGGACGGGUGAGUAACACGUGGAUAACCUACCUAUCAGUCUGGGAUCACUUCGGGAAACCGGCGCUAAUACCGGAUAAUAUAUUGAACCGCAUGGUUCAAUAGUGAAAGACGGUUUUGCUGUCACUUAUAGAUGGAUCCGCGCCGCAUUAGCUAGUUGGUAAGGUAACGGCUUACCAAGGCAACGAUGCGUAGCCGACCUGAGAGAGGGAUCGGCCACACGGGAACUGAGACACGGUCCAUACUCCUACGGGAGGCAGCAGUAGGGAAUCGUCCGCAAUGGGCGAAAGCUUGACGGAGCAACGCCGCGUGAGUGAUGAAGGUCUUCGGAUCGUAAAACUCUGUUAUUAGGGAAGAACAAAUGUGUAAGUAACUAUGCACGUCUUGACGGUACCUAAUCAGAAAGCCACGGCUAACUACGUG